GACGAACGCUGGCGGCGUGCUUAACACAUGCAAGUCGAGCGGGUAAGGCCCUUUCGGGGGUACACGAGCGGCGAACGGGUGAGUAACACGUGGGUGACCUGCCCUCAGCGUCUGGGAUAAGCCUGGGAAACCGGGUCUAAUACUGGAUAUGACUCCAUGACGCAUGUUGUGGGGUGGAAAGCCUUGUGCGGCUGAGGAUGGGCCCGCGGCCUAUCAGCUUGUUGGUGGGGUGANGGGCCUACCAAGGCGACGACGGGUAGCCGGCCUGAGAGGGCGACCGGCCACACUGGGACCUGAGACACGGGCCCAGACUCCUACGGGAGGG
rnacentral:rRNA from 1 species